ensembl:lncRNA
CCACCACUCCCUAUUGCCCCACACCAGGACCCAUCACCCAUUAUGUUAAUCUACCUGUAUGCAUUUGCAUGUCAAAGCUCUGGCCUAGUGGUGAAGAGGUAUUGGAAUGGCAUGUCCUUUUAGGUGAUCUAUUGUAAUGCUGGUGCAUUAUCCUCAUUUUACAGAUAAAGAAACUUGCCUUUAGGGAGGUUAAGUGAAUCAACAUCUUAAUGAGGCUGGAUUAGAACCCAAGUCCUUUGACUCCAGGGUCUAGGCCCAUGCCUCACCCUGGCCAGAGUUCGUUGUGAGAGAGGACUCAACCGCAGGGCCAAGAGCAUUGUGGCACCAGGGACCUGGAGGGGAAGUGGUAACAGGCACGGAAGGCCAGACCUCCUCACACUCACUCAUCUGUGAGAAAGUACAAAAGCAAGAGAAAGCUGGCUUGGGGGUGGCACUCAACAGGUGCUCUGAGUGGCACCCAGGGCCAGGUCCUGGGAGAGGACAGAAAACAAUUGGGACUCCUCAGCCCCCGGCAGCUCCCGGUGCCCAGUCACCCACAACACAACCGCACAGACAUAAAGUCUUAAAUAUGCCUCGAAAGGACCGAUACCCUCAUCAAAGCCUACCCGUGGACCCAGGGUAAGAAGCUAUGAUGGAGGUCAUCAGCCCAUUUGGCAUCUCAAGGAGAAUGGCACAGCAAAGCCUUCUAGACAAGCUCAGUG